AUAUUUGCAUCCGAUUAAGGUUGUGUUUUUAUUUGAAAACACAUUAAAAGGGAAUCAAGUAACUGAUUUUUAAUGUUUUAAAAUCAAAAUUCUUGAGCUGUACCCGCAACUGUAAGCUUAGUUCUUUAAUAGAGAAUGCUUGUUGUUAACUACAAAACCACUGUCACGCCCUGCGUGAUGGGAAGGUAAACAACAAGACGCAAGCCAGGAGACCUGCCUUUAUAACAAAUAUCGA
rnacentral:ncRNA from 2 species